rnacentral:rRNA from 1 species
UGUGCCAGCCGCCGCGGUAAUACGAAGGGGGCUAGCGUUGCUCGGAAUCACUGGGCGUAAAGGGUGCGUAGGCGGGUUUCUAAGUCAGAGGUGAAAGCCUGGAGCUCAACUCCAGAACUGCCUUUGAUACUGGAAGUCUUGAGUAUGGCAGAGGUGAGUGGAACUGCGAGUGUAGAGGUGAAAUUCGUAGAUAUUCGCAAGAACACCAGUGGCGAAGGCGGCUCACUGGGCCAUUACUGACGCUGAGGCACGAAAGCGUGGGGAGCAAACAGGAUUAGAUACCCCGGUAGUCC